rnacentral:lncRNA from 1 species
CCCCAUCUACGGCGGCUCGCGCGUGCUGCUCGCGUGGUUCGCGGGGGAGGAGGCGCUGCAGCUGGAGGCGCUGGACGACGAGGACGUCAUCCGCGGGGCCCACGCCGCGAUCGAGGGGUUCCUGCCGCUCCACGUCGACGGCACCACCUGCAACGGGACCGGCCCGAGCCCGAGUCGGNCUCUCUCUCUCUCUUCCCUUCUCCUCUAAAUCUUAGCCCCCCUUUCUCUCUCGCUGCCGCCCGAGGUCGGCGUGGGCAGCGGGGGCGUCGAGGGCCGCCGGCCGCACCUGCCAUGCUCGGGGCCUGAGGAGGCGGAGGCGGAGGCGUUCCCCUUCCUCCAGAUGGCGUUCGCCCAGGAGGAGAAGGGGCCGGGGCCGGGGCGACGCGCGGCGAAGAUCCCGUGGUGGAUCAGGAAGACGGCGUCGAUCUGUCCCAUCUACGGUGGCUCGCGCGUGUUGCUCGCGUGGUUCGCGGGGGAGGAGGCGCUGCAGCUGGAGGCGCUGGACGACGAGGACGUCAUCCGCGGGGCCCACGCCGCGAUCGAGGGGUUCCUGCCGCUCCACGUCGACGGCACCACCUGCAACGGGACCGGCCCGAGCCCGAGCCCGAGCCGAUGGAGGAUCGCGAGGGUGAGGCGGAGCCGGUGGGGGACGGACCCGCUCUUCCUGGGUUCGUACAGCUACGUGGCCGUGGGAUCGAGCGGGGACGACCUGGAUCUGAUGGCGGAGCCUCUGCCACGUGGAGCGGAGGGAAUGGGGGCGGCGCCCCUACAAAUACUGUUCGGUGGGGAGGCGACACACCGGACGCAUUACUCGACGACACACGGGGCGUAUUUUAGCGGCAUCCGGGAGGCCAACAG